rnacentral:rRNA from 1 species
UCGAGGAUCUUCGGCAAUGGGCGCAAGCCUGACCGAGCGACGCCGCGUGCGGGAUGAAGGCCUCGGGUUGUAAACCGCUGUCAGUGGGGAGAAAAUGUACGGAGGUUCUCCUUCGUAUUUGAUCUAUCCGCAGAGGAAGUGUGGGCUAAGUUCGUGCCAGCAGCCGCGGUAAGACGAACCACACAAACGUUAUUCGGAAUUACUGGGCUUAAAGGGUGCGUAGGCUGCGCGGAAAGUUGGGUGUGAAAUCCCUCGGCUCAACCGAGGAACUGCGCCCAAAACUACCGUGCUCGAGGGAGACAGAGGUGAGCGGAACUUAGGGUGGAGCGGUGAAAUGCGUUGAUAUCCUAAGGAACACCCGUGGCGAAAGCGGCUCACUGGGUCUCUUCUGACGCUGAGGCACGAAAGCUAGGGUAGCGAACGAUU